rnacentral:rRNA from 1 species
AGCGAACGUUAGCGGCGGGCCUAACACAUGCAAGUCGAACGCGAAAGGUCUUCGGACUGAGUAGAGUGGCGCACGGGUGAGUAACACGUAGGUAAUCUACCCUUUGGCGGGGGAUAACGUUCCGAAAGGAGCGCUAAUACCGCAUAAGACCACGGAGUCUCCGGACGCUGUGGGAAAAGGUGGCCUCUUCUUGAAAGCUACCACUGAAGGAUGAGCCUGCGUCCCAUCAGCUAGUUGGUAAGGUAAUGGCUUACCAAGGCGAAGACGGGUAGCUGGUUUGAGAGAAUGAUCAGCCACACUGGCACUGGAACACGGGCCAGACUCCUACGGGAGGCAGCAGUGAGGAAUAUUGGGCAAUGGGCGAAAGCCUGACCCAGCCACGCCGCGUGAGUGAUGAAGGCCCUCGGGUCGUAAAGCUCUGUGGAGAGGGACGAAAACCCUGGUUUCAAAUAGGCUCCAGGCUUGACGGUACCUCUUUAGUCAAGCACCGGCUAACUCUGUGCCAGCA